rnacentral:lncRNA from 1 species
GCUUCCUCCUCUGCCACAGUCAGGAACCUGGCCUUCACCACACAUCACUGUCCCCGUGAUCCCCUGUGACUUGUCCGGGGAAAGUAAGAAGCCAUCUGGGACCUGCAGCGCGGCCUCGGAAGCACUGGAGGAGGCCAGCCACUCUGCCAAGCAGUGUGUGUUUCCAACUCGCCUCUUCAGCCGGCCCUUGGUUUCAUGGAAUCACCCUGCAGGUCGAAGCCCUGGGGCUCCAGGCCUUCCCACAACCAUCUGGCAGGCCCAGAGCAUCCAAGUCUGCUGUGGAGGGGCUGGGCAGGAGGAGGGAGGAACAGAGCCACCGUCCCUGCUGUGGUCGCCAGGUGUCAGGAGCAGUUUCCCAGCUCAUCAAGGACUGGCUCUAAAGCAGAGGUCGUCCCAGGAACAGCUACCCUAAUGAGAAGUCGGGGAUGGCUUUGGUCCUGGGUGAAAGCGUGCUGCUGGAUUUCAAGGCCUGAGCAUGAUUUUAAACCACACAGCCGAGUUUUUCAAACAGACUGCUCCCUGCCCUGCCCUUUAAGGAGGAUGCAUUUCGGUGUCUGGAGACAUUUUUGA